UAUCCCAUACGUAGGUCUCCAUGUAAGAAAAAAAGAGGUCUUCAUAUGGAGGCCCAAAACGCAUCUCUUUAGCCAGCGCAUGAAAUCUCUAAGAGAGAGUCCUAGCAAAUUAUCCCACACGUAGGUCUUCAUGUAAGAAAAAAAGAGGUCUUCAUAUGAAGGCCCAAUACGCAUCUCUUCAGCCAGCGCCGCUCCUCCUCCACCGCCUCUCAAUGUCGCCGCUCCUCCUCCACCGCCUCUCGAUAUUCUCCUUCAAUGUCUUCUUACAUACUCCAAGGUACGAUCCCUGAUGCCAUUCAUCUAGAAGAAAAUUAACCAAUCCAAUCUUUCAUCAUUCCCCCUUCCACCCCAAUUUUCAAAUCUCCUUUUAUUCCAGGCUUCUAGAUGGCCUACACAUCUGUGCAUGUGUAUCCACGAUAGUUUGAAGGAGGGGCGCCGUUCAUUUUUGAGGGCGCACAUGCCGGAAGUUUAAGGCAAAUACAUGCCGGUGGCUUGACCAUCUCCUCCUCUGUUUGAUUUUGGUCUGACAGGCCAUGGUGACGAGUAGGUCGAUCUAUGCUGAUAACUUAAUGGCGUUGAUGGCUGUGUGCAUCUUUAUAGUCCCAGUGGUGGCAGCAUGUAGAGGUGUAAACAUAGGAGCAGAUUAAUAAUCAUCCAUAUACAUGGGCAACAGAUUGAUAGCAGCAACGUGCAGGUCUGAACCUGCUCUCCCUAGCCAUGGUUCCCAAUGGUAAGUUUCCACUGAGGGCUCAUAUCUUAAUUGUAGGAAGUUGGAAUUUCUCAUCUCACAUCCAAAUACACAACACCAAACAUGCACACACAGCUAAGCAGCUAGAGGAGCGUACUUCUUUAUCGAUUAUUAGAACUAAUGGAGACUGUAUAAUAUUUGUGUAUCUGCCAAAUUUCUACCUACUUAAAGCAACACAGGGUGAUUUGGUUUCCUUAUUAAUCUACCCGACCAGGGCGCAGUAAAGACCGUGGCUCGAAUAUUCGUUGAAAAAUAUGAUUAUUGUUUUCAAGUGACUGAUUUUUUCGCAACCAAUUUUGUCUUUCGGAAUUAAAUUUUUAGCAGUACACAAGUACUCAUCUGUUGCUUUGUUCCUUCGGGUGGCAAUACUAUGGUUCGUUGCUGUUGAGUCAAAACCGAUGUGUACAGCUAAUUUUUAUCUUUAGAUCUAGCUUGCAAGAGGAGGAAUAUAAUAUCCAUUACAGAUGGCAAUGAUACCAGUUUAAGCCCAAUCAAUUAUUUUAGGUGACUACCCUAAAAAAACUAUUAUAGUUGACUGCUAGCAUAUUCAGUACUAGAGGCUCUCUGCAAGAAUUCACCGGCGAUUUGCCCCUACCACUGGCAUGGGGCGUCCUGUAAAGUAUUUUGUUGCUGGCUCGAGGCUUGGAGGAGAUACAAUACCGACAGUCCUCUUUGAAGCAAGUACGGUGAUGGCUGUCCGUCAUCAAUAAGGCAGCACAAAGUUUCGCAUCCUAUAGAUGCCAAUCAAUGGCAUAAUACACCUCUCCUGUCCCAAUUUAGCAGGGUAGUAGUACCCUUAAUUCCCAUCUUCACUGGCCUGUUCUUCAUCCUUUUCAAUUCAUAACCAAACCCCCAGCGGAUAUCAUAUCUCAUCAAGAAAGAUUGGAAGCAGAUGCUAGAUGCUGUUCGUCAGGCGUGUGAGAACGGAAAAUCAUGGUUUUCCUAUUGUGCAUACUGCAGGAGCAGUACAUCUAAACUACAGACAUAAUUAUUAGUGCAUAGCUAUGUUCUUUUCUUACUUUUUGCUGAUGAAAUGUUCCUGGUUUCCACAUGCAGUAUUUGCAAAAAAAAAUUGGUGGAUGCGGCAAGGUUUGAUUAAUAUGAUGGUAAGUAUUGUUUUCAGGUGUCAGAGCUUAAGAAAGAUUGAUCCCUUUGUGGAAAGUUAGGGUGGACGAAGUGGUCAAGAAAAAAUCUUCAAGCAUGCAUUCAAUAUCAACGAUAUGGUGGUUGGCGUCUUCCAUCGUGCAGCCUGCGUAUCUGUUGUUUCAUGUUACACUGGUGCAAACAAGAGAAAUCUCCUCUAUAUCAAGUUAUUGUUAGGCUCGCCUGUGUGUUCUUUGGUGAUUAGGAAAAAGAAGUAUCGAGAAGCUCAUGGCGACCAUCUGCUGAUUCCUCACGGCUGCCUACAUCUGUCUACUAGAUUGGACGCAAAAUUGCAAUAUGAGACACUCAACAAUGCAUCAAUUAAUGUU